GAACGAACGCUGGCGGCAUGCCUAACCCAUGCAAGUCGAACGAGACCUUCGGGUCUAGUGGCGCACGGGUGCGUAACGCGUGGGAACCUGCCCUUAGGUUCGGAAUAACUCCCCGAAAGGGGUGCUAAUACCGGAUAAUGUCUUCGGACCAAAGAUUUAUCGCCUUUGGAUGGGCCCGCGUUGGAUUAGCUAGUUGGUAGGGUAAAAGCCUACCAAGGCGACGAUCCAUAGCUGGUCUGAGAGGAUGAUCAGCCACACUGGGACUGAGACACGGCCCAGACUCCUACGGGAGGCAGCAGUGGGGAAUAUUGGACAAUGGGCGAAAGCCUGAUCCAGCAAUGCCGCGUGAGUGAUGAAGGCCUUAGGGUUGUAAAGCUCUUUUAACCGGGAUGAUAAUGACAGUACCGGGAGAAUAAGCGCCGGCUAACUCCGUG
rnacentral:rRNA from 1 species